CUCCGCUCCCCGAGCAGGUAAUCGGAGGCAGAGGGAGCCAAGCAGCUGCAUGGCUGCGCUGUGAGGUGGCUAAGGAGUCGCUCGCCCAGCACACCAGCCCCAGAUAGCAGCAGAGCAGCCAACCAGGAAACCUCCCAGUAGGCGCCCACAGAGGCCGGUGCCCCAGGCAAAUGCCUUAUUUGCCUAAUGGUAGCGCUGGCCCUGGCUCUAACAGUAGCAUUUGUACCGUUCAGUUACCCAGAGACAGAGAGAUCUCAACGUGUUCUGGACCUGAGUGUUUAAAGUGCAACCGUCACCUCCCAGGCGUUUUACAUAAUUUUUACAUGUUUACAUAUUUCCUAUAUUUAAUAAAGCAUACACACGCUGUUGCACUUUACAUGAAAAGUGUGGCCCUUUUUUUUAAAAUAAAUUCUUUAUUUUGUGGUGCAAACAAUUGACACAGACUCUUGCGUUGCCCCAACAGCAAGUACAAGAUAAGCAAAUACAUAAAUGAACAAAUAGAGGGCAUGGUGGGUCACUGCACACAUUUUUCUUUUUUAGUAGUAGCUAGGUCACGUGGUUUUCAAACAUGUCUAGGGUGUAUAGCAAAACUUAAGACGUGGUUGAUGUGGGUUGUAUAGACAUGAGUGGUAUGUGGGUGCGUGGCUUAAAACUAGAUUGUUCGGCUAGCUGGUAUGUCGUUAUCUGAUUAGUGAGUAACAAACUAUCUGAGCUGCGGCCUAUUAGGUGCCGUACAUGCUAGUUAUCAAGAUGCAAGGAGAGAAAAAAUAUAUAUAUAUCAAACACAUUUAAGAUGGGGACAGGCUGAUAAAGGAGUUAAGUGUGAGCGGACUUGGCAUUCGGGCUGGGUACAAAUCUUGCCGUUAUUGUUACGAGGGACCUAUGAGCUGGCUAUAUUCAGUGAUGACUGAGAGCCUAUGGAAUCAGAUUCUAAAAGAAAAUAAGACAAAAAACCCUGAGAUAGGAAUCCCUAGAACGUGGCUGCCCUGUGUGAAGCAAGGUCCUUGCUAGACAUGUCAGGCAAUGAAGUGAUGUAUGCAUUAUAUAUGGAAUUGUACUGUAAAGAAGGCAACUGCCUAAAUAAGCAAAGAGAAGAAAAAAAAAAAAAAAAACGAAUUCAAGUGGGCCUUGCUGUUGGGAGUCCACCCUGGGGUGCGUAGCCGAUGUCGGUUAAUGGCAGGCCUGCCACUCUGCUGCCCAAAAUUUUUUCCCCUGGCUGGUAAUUAGUUGUGUAGUUGCGUGUAUGAGUGUGCACCAGUGCAGUGUGGUCUUGUAGUUAGUGAGUGUGUGUGGGAGGUGCGGUCGAUGGGAGUGCCUGGUGUAUGAUGAGAUUGGGGCGCUAAGGUCGAGUCUUUCUAGCCAGGUGUAUGUUAGUAAAUCCUACAUGGCAUAUCACAUUAGAGGUCGACAUCGAUAAGAUAAAGUCAAUCAUAUUAAAUUAAAGUAGUCAAAUUAAGGUGGGAACAAAGAGUAGGUAACAACAGUAGCUAUGUAGCAAUAGGGUUAAUAGUGAUUAGGCAUAUUAUCAGCAUUUGUAAGCAUUAAACACAGUUCGGACCGUUAUGAAUAGGUUUUGUAUUGACUGUCCUGACAGCGUCUGGGUGACACUUGGAGAGCGAUUUGCAACAUGUGUGGUGCCCUUGUUCGUAUCGUCUUGUCAGAUGUCCCAUGCAACUGCCCGUUGCAGUUCAUGUGGGUCGGGUGUGAGGCCUUGUGGUAUGAACGGGACAAUUUUGGUCGGGUCCCAUCUGCGCUGCGGAGAUACUGGGUUCUGGCUCUUCUGGCCUUUUGGGUUGAGGGAGUCCAUAGGUAGGCCCAAUGAUUGGAGGAGCGGUGCCGCAUGGCACAGGUCCCGUACCUGAUGCGAGUCUGUACCCUGCUGGACUGUCAGGGUGUGGGAUGGUCCCCAGCGGUAUCUGAGGCCCUUUUGGCGGAGAAGUAUGGUAAGUGGCUGGAGGGUUCGUCUCCAUGCCAAAGUGCUGUUGGAGAGGUCGGCGUAGAAACUCAGUGCCCUGUUAUCAAAUUGUAGGGGUGUCCUGCCCCGCAGGGUGUCCAGUACUGCCGUUUUGUCAAUUCCGUUCCGGAAAGCAACUAUGGCGUCCCUGGUGGUCCCAGUAGGUGCCUUUGGGGAUUUGGGGAUCCUGAAAAGGUAGUCAGGGUGUAUGUGAUCUGCCUGUGCGGGUGGCAGUAUUGUCGCGAGCAGGCGUUUGGUGACCUGUGGUAAUUCUGCAUCUGUUAUUUCCUCCGGGAGUCCCCUAAUUUUCAGGUUGUUACGCCGUCUGGCGUCUUCGUGCUCAGCCAUGCGGUAUUCGUGGGAACGUUGUUGUAUCUGCAGAUCCUGCUCAGUACGUUUGAGUUCCUCUAUGUCCCCGGUAUUUGUUUCGGUACGGUUCUCCAUUGUAUUUAGGCGGGUGGUCAACCCCUUUAGAUCUCCCCUCAGUGCAGUGAUGUCCUUGUGGAUUUCGUCAUGGCGAUCCACUAAUAAUUGCUUAAGGAUCGCCACUGUCACUGGUGUGGAGUCCGGUGUGGUGUUGGUCGGUGGUGAGGGCUUUUCCGCCGCGUGGACUGGUAAGUAUUGCUCUCCUGAGAGGUCAUCGGAGAAGUCCGAGCAUCCCCCGUGGAGUGCCGCCAUGUUGCCUUCGUUUGCGCCUCGGGCCUGCCUCCACAUGUCUCCUAUGGUGAGUCCCGGGUUGUUUUUCCACGGGUUUGUUUUUUUCGUUUUGCGUCCCAUUUCGUUAGGGUGUAUGCUGGGGGUUUCUGCCGUGGUUUAGGCGUAGUUAGUAUGGGUAUUUUUCGGGUUUUUCUCGUUUGUGCCUCGGAGCUCCGGAGUAUUGCGGCCGCUCGUCUAGGCUGUCAAGCUCCGCCCCAGUGUGGCCCUUUUUAACCUCAAGUUUAACAAGUCUUUCCAAGGGCAGCACAUUUUAUGCAAUGCUCAAAGUGAAUUUCAAGCUUCUUGAUUUAUUUUUUUUAAUUUAAUUUCUGUUUUAUUUUCACAUGUUUUCUUUUUAUGUUGUCUUUUUGUUUUAAUAUCUUUACCCUGGACUAAUGCCUUUCUUGUUUCCCUUCAAGGAGCACAAGAAAAGUGCUGACCUGCCUACUGUGUUUCACCACAUUGCGGACACAUACUUACAAACAGGUACAAUAUUACAGUGAUAUGUCGCACUAGAAUUGUGUGUAAGACAAACCCAAAAACAUAAAUUAAGACAAAAUAUUGAUAUCUGUUAGACAUUUCUAACAACUGUAAAAUGAAAAUCUAUAAAAUAUUUAUAUUCCAUAUUGAAUACGCUGAAUUCUCCAUAGAUAACUAAAAUUUUGCUUGUAAAAUGUAAUUCAUGUGGCAUGGAUUUACCAUUUUUUCUUUAUUUUAUUUUUUAUAACCUUAGGGUGACCUGAUUGGAGGGACUAGAACAAGAGAAUCUAAAAAAGUAUAUUUGUGGUUCAGAAACUGUGUCUGUAUCAAAUGGGGCAUCUUUACCAGCAAAGCCAGGUAAGGCUCUAGUAGUAACAUUUCUAUCGUUCAGUUACCCAGAGACAGCCAAACCUCAAUCUGUGCUGACCCUGACCUGAGUGUUUAAAGUGGAACCAUCACCUCCCAGGCGUUUUACUAUUAUGUUUACUUAUUUCAUAUACUUAAAGGGACACUGUAGGCACCCAGACCACUUCAGCCCAUUGAAGCGGUCUGGGUGCCAACUCCCAUCACCCUUAACCCUGCAAGUGUAAUUAUUGCAGUUUUUAUAAACUGCAAUAAUUACUGUGCAAGAUUAAGUCCUCCUCUAGUGGCUGUCUACCAGACAGCCACUAGAGGGACCUCUGGCUUCUUAGACAACUAAAAGUCGUCUAAACGAUGCUGGACGUCCUUGCGCUAUGCAUGAGGACCUCCAGCAUCGCCGGAAUUCCCAUAGGAAAGCAAUGAAUAAUGCUUUCCAAUGGGGAGGUCUAAUGUGCGCAUGCGCAUUAGGUCUCCCCCACCGGUGGACAUCGGCGUGGGAGGAGCGUGGGCGGAGCCUGGCUCAGUGCCGAGGGACAUCGGCGCUGGAUUCAGGUAAGUGUCUCAAGGGGUUUUAGCAUUGGGGGGCGGGAGGGAGGGGGGCACUGCAGGAUUCUGUAGUGCCAGGAAAAUGGGUUUGUUUCCCUAGAGAAUCCCUUUAACACAUAUGUUCUUGUGAGGUCUGACAAAUAAAAUUAAAUAAAAAAAAGAAAGAAAUGAGCACUACUGUAUUUAACAGGGACAUUGCUGUGGAUAUUCUGAGAUUAUAAAUAAAUGCUUGGAGUUCCUUUCUAUCUGAAGUUGUGACUUUUACUGUGGUCCAUAUUUUAAGGCAGAAUGUAUGUAUGGGGAUCUAAGUUUAAAAUUAGGAACAAGAUUAGUGUUUGCCACUAACUAUUUUAAUUAUUUUUCUUUAGUCAGGAACAAACAGGAGGCUGAUGACAAUGGUAACUAAAAAGCUGGUCUGCAAUGUCAAUUUUUCAAAUGCCCUAUAACGUUGGAUGGAAAGACUUUGUUUGCCAGCUGGAUUGUGUGUACUGGAUGAAGAUCUCCUAUCAAAUACCCCCCUUUUAAACUAAACUGCUACCGUAAUAGACCUUGUCUCAGAUAGAAUUGGUCUGGGCAAGGUGAGAAUCACCAAUUUUGAUGAGUAAUUCAUCC